rnacentral:lncRNA from 14 species
AUGCUGAGGUUGUUGAUCUCGGAGGCGAUCUUCUUCCUGUGCCCCGGCUUGGUGACCCCGAUGGCCGUGAGGUCCUGGGGCAGAGAGGGGGGUCAGUGCCGCCCUGCUCCGGCCGUGCCUCCCUCCCACCGCCCCCGGCCCCACCUCCGGCGUCAUCCGGCUGAUGGUGGUGAUGUCGUAGCCGGCGUUGAUGAAGUUGGGAGCGUAGAGCUGCAGCUGGAACUUGCAGAGCCACUGGUACACGGCCUCGGAGCUCUGGGGAGAGAGGGGACAGAUGGAUGGGGACCCGCCCUGGGGAUGGGGACCCGCCACUCCUGCCCCUGUCCCCCAGGCUGUCCCCACCACACGCUCCCCACGGCACCCAGCGCUCCCCGCUCACCUUCCCCUCUGACGGAGGCUCCAUUUUCUUCAGCUGGGGCUCGGCGGGGGGCUGGGGGGCGUAGGGGGAGCUGGCCACGCUCUGCGACCGCGACGAACCUGCCGGAGGGGCAGCGGUCAGCGCGGCCCGGCCCCGGGCUCCGGCCAAGGGAAGCGAGGGAGAGCCGAGCCCUGCCCUGGGCGGGUGCCACAGCCACAGCUUGGCAGGGCCAAGGCAGGCACAGGAGAGCACACAGGACACCCAGCGCAGCAGAGCAGCCGGAGCACCCGCGGUGCCCCGGACAGGGUGCUGCUCCUCGGGGAGGGGCAGGAGAGCUGCUGCACCCAGCACAGCCCCGAGCAGUGGGACCCAGCCAGACGUGUCCCCCAGAGCCGGUGUCCCUGGAGGCCAGGCAGCAGCCAGAGGGGUUCCUGUGCCCAAAAGCCUCUGGCCCCACUCCUCUGGCCUUGCCACCCGCCAGGCAGGCUCGCAGGAGCUGUUCAUCCCUUGGACUCCCCCACGGGCAUCCCUCCAGGGUAAGGAGCGCUGCCCUGAAAUUUUUCCCUUAUGGUUCUGAUCAGGAUGGACGAGAAACCCCUUUACCGCCACCAGCAACUGCAUCUUCCGUGUGUGUGUGUGUGUGUGUGUGUGUGUGUGUGCAUCCCCCCUGUGUGUGUGUGUGCGUGUGCAUCCCCCCUGUGUGUACAUCCCCCCUGUGUGUGCAUCCUUCGGGCAUCUGCAUCCCUCUCGCGUGGGCAUCCUCCUCACAUGUGCAUCCCUCUGCCGUGUGCAUCUCCCUCACGUCUGCAUCCCACUUGCGUCUGCAUCGCUCCAGCGUUUCCCCCUCUCCCUAG